CCAUGGGUAUAUUGUGUCUUUCUUUAGGUUUAAUCCUAUCUCUAGCAAAUGUUCGGUCUCAGAUUUCUGUUUCACUUUCAGUCCCUGAGAUAGUGAAGGUGACAGAAUCAGUCCUGCUGGUUUGUAAAGUCACCGGUGCUUCAAUCACCGAUAGCAGUAAGAUCCCCGCUGUGAACUUCGUUAAGCAACUUUUAGAUGGCAACCUGGUGUUUUUGGCUCAUCUUAAUUAUGCUCAGGGCACAGCAUACAACCCCACAUUACAGAAUAGGCUCACCCUGUCCAGAGACACAGCCAGAAAUGAGGCAUAUCUGCAAAUAAGAGACAUGAAACCAGAAGACACAGCAGUAUAUUACUGUGCAGGGCAAAGUACACAGUGUGUAAAAGGAAGCAAAGACCAGACUUAA